rnacentral:miRNA from 1 species
GACUAUCUGUCCUGGUUUGCCUGGGAUUGAGGGGGUUUCCAGGAAUGUGGGACAUUCAGUGCUCAAACUAGGAAGGU